AAUAUAAAGCUGUGUUUUGUUUGUAGGUUAUGUCAUGAGGAAGGAGAUGAGAAGUCAGUAGAAGAGGAGGUAGAAGAAGAACAGUCGAAGAACAGAGAGAAAAUAGAAACGUUGGUUUUCAAUAUUCAAAAAGUGUACAUACAAAUUGUGAGAGUACAGACUAUAAAGAAAGUGAACAACGGUCACUGUGAUGUGACAGUUGUAGAAUAAACAAACUAUAUGAAACGGUGUGUUUCAUAUCAACCUAAACCAAUAAAGAAAAGGGCCUAUUAACAAGGCCUUUAUGAGUUACAAGUCCAAUGAAAACAAGAGCCCAAUAUAGAACACAAUAGAAGAGUUCAAAAGCAAAGUCUGGUUAGGGUAAAACACCAGAGAGUUAGAGACAACAAAGAGGAAGAAGAUUACGCGCCAUGGACGAUUCGUGAAAAACGUGAACUAUCUUAUCAUUGGCACCCUGGAUUACAUAUUUUACACAGGUGAAGCUAUUCAGCAACAAGUUUUUUGUGCAUCUCUUUUGGGAGUCCAUUGGGGAUUCAAGGUGGAUUGUACUGAAUUAAUGAUUUGGUCUCUCAGCGGACUCCUUAACAGUGGAGUCCUUGCUAGAACUCUUGGAUGAGGAUAACUUGAGGAAAGACACAGUACUUCCUUCUCCAGAGUCGUCUUCGGAUCAUAUAGCGCUUUUGGCGGAGUUUCGUUGCAAGCCUAGACCUAGACGUUGACAUCCUGGGUGGAGGAUAUGCUAAAGAAAUAUGGUUGGGAUUAGAUGGGAGACAAAAAUAGUUCAUUUAAGAAGGGUAGAUGGUGUUUCCUGGGAUCUCCAUUGCGAUUGUUGUUGCGGUCUGCUGCGUAUCAUCCCACCUCUGUUUCAUAGGAAACUCAGAUCCAAUAUCCUACCUCCCCCUGCCCUUGUUCCAGUAUAAAUGUCCAGCUCAGUUCAAGCCGUACCAGAGUUUCUUAAAAUCAAGUGCUCUAUCUGUGGCAUGCUAUUGAAAGUAAUGCUCUCUUUGUAUUCUAUUUGUACCAGUCCAUGCUUCCUGUGAUUCGAUCCCACUCCCUUUUCUCU